CUUUUUGCAUUGAAACUUUUCGUUUCGUCACUGAAACCAUUGACACUUGUCUUCAGCGACUGCUUCCGCGAUAGAGCAUUUGCACAUUUUAUUCACUCAUACAUCUAUAUUUCUGUCAAAAUGUGCAUUUGACAACUAAAUUUUCAGCUAAAAGCUCUAUUUUUUGACACCGGUGCACUCACACAACCAAUCGACAUCAGUUGUCAAAAAAUCAGGAGUACCAACUUGACCACUAUUUCCUUGUCGCCGAGUCUGGCGCUGAGUGCUUGGCGCGGAAACCCAAAGGCAGCAUUUGUCGUCCUUUCCGAAGUGGCACUUUUCGGUUUGCUUCUGGCACAUCCGGUGAAGGUAUAAAGCAAAACAGCGAUGGGUGGAAUCCUCCAAGUGGCACUGCAGAACGAGAAUUUCUGGAUUUUCAGUAAGGUCUUCCGGUCCAGAACGUACCUCAUCGUCCGAAGUUUAGAAGACCAGGAAAUUUUCAGAAUGUUUCCGCUACUUAUGCCGAUGCCGCACUGUUUUUUCGGUCCUGAAUUGUCUUUGCGUUGUGUGACCUUGAUGGCCAGGAGUAAUGAUAUAUUGCAAAAAUGAAAUGUAACUGAUUUUAAGGAAAUAAAAUGAAACUUAUAUUUUAGAA